rnacentral:rRNA from 1 species
UGAGGAAUAUUGGUCAACGGGGGGCGGGAAGCCUGAACCAGCCACGCCGCGUGCGGGAAGGAGGCCCUAUGGGCUGUGAACCGCUUUUGCCUGGGGGCAAUAAGGGCGUCGCGCACGUCCGAUGAGAGUACCAGGGGAAUAAGCAUCGGCUAACUCCGUGCCAGCAGCCGCGGUAAUACGGGGGGAUGCGAGCGUUAUCCGGAUUCAUUGGGUUUAAAGGGUGCGUAGGCUGUGCGUCAAGUCAGGGGUGAAAUUCCGGGGCUCAACUCCGGGGCUGCCCUCGAUACUGUCGCGCUGGAGUGCGGAUGCCGCCGGAGGAAUGAGUGGUGUAGCGGUGAAAUGCUUAGAUAUCACUCAGAACACCGAUUGCGAAGGCAUCUCACAAAUCCGCAAUUGACGCUGAGGCACGAAAGCGUGGGGAUCGAACAGGAUUAGAUACCCUGGUAGU